UACGUAGGGGGGCGAGCGUUGUCCGGAGUUACUGGGCGUAAAGCGCACGCAGGCGGUCUGCUAAGUUUGGAGUGACAGUUGGUGGCUUAACUGCCAAAGUGCUUCGAAAACUGACAGACUUGAGGGCUUCAGAGGGACACGGAAUUCCGGGUGGAGUGGUGAAAUGCGUAGAGAUCCGGAGGAACACCAAAGGCGAAGGCAGUGUCCUGGGGAGUACCUGACGCUCAGGUGCGAAAGCCAGGGGAGCGAAUGGG
rnacentral:rRNA from 1 species